UAGGGAAUCUUCCGCAAUGGACGCAAGUCUGACGGAGCAACGCCGCGUGAGUGAAGAAGGAUUUCGGUUCGUAAAACUCUGUUGUUAGAGAAGAACAGCGCAUAGAGUAACUGUUAUGCGUGUGACGGUAUAUAACCAGAAAGCCACGGCUAACUACGUGCCAGCAGCCGCGGUAAUACGUAGGUGGCAAGCGUUGUCCGGAUUUAUUGGGCGUAAAGCGAGCGCAGGCGGUCAAUUAAGUCUGAUGUGAAAGCCCCCGGCUCAACCGGGGAGGGUCAUUGGAAACUGGUUUAGUUGAGUGCAGAAGAGGAGAGUGGAAUUCCAUGGGUAGCGGUGAAAUGCGUAGGUAUAUGGAGGAACACCAGUGGCGAAGGCGACUCUCUGGUCUGUAACUGACGCUGAGGCUCGAAAGCGUGGGUAGCAAACAGG
rnacentral:rRNA from 1 species